rnacentral:misc_RNA from 1 species
GAUGAAGAACGUAGCGAAAUGCGAUAAGUAGUGUGAAUUGCAGAAUUCAGUGAAUCAUCGAAUCUUUGAACGCACAUUGCGCCCCUUGGUAUUCCAUGGGGCAUGCCUGUUCGAGCGUCAUUUGUACCUUCAAGCUUUGCUUGGUGUUGGGUGUUUGUCUCGCCUUUGCGUGUAGACUCGCCUUAAAAUAAUUGGCGGCCGGCGUAUUGAUUUCGGAGCGCAGUACAUCUCGCGCUUUGCACUCAUAACGACAGCGUCCAAAAGUACAUUUUACACUCUUGACCUCGGAUCAGGUAGGGAUACCCGCUGAACUUAAGCAUAUCAAUAAGCGGAGGA